rnacentral:tRNA from 1 species
AAUGAGAUAGUUUAAUCAAAAUGUAUGCCUUGCACGCAUAAGAUAAGUAGUUUUCUUGUUG